GGGAUUAGCCCAUCGCCGAACCGCAGGCCAGACCGGGUCUCGUGGAAUGUGGCGUUUGGAAAGGUCUUCUCCAGGCCGGGGGUGCCUGUCAAAGUCCAACUUGACAGUGGCUACAGCCCACAGAGGGUGCUAGGCCCGUAAGGCGGCGUCCCCUGGUCUGCUGACCUUUUCCUCGAGUCGGGUUGCUUGGGAGUGCAGCCCAAAGAGCGUGGUAAACUCCACGUAAGGCUAAAUAUGACCCCGAGACCGAUAGCAAACAAGUACAGUGAUGGAAAUUUGAAAAGAACUUUGAAGAGAGAGUUAAGAGUACGUGAAACUGUGUGGCAGCAAACAUAGCUUUCCUCGAAGUUUGCCGGUUGGACCCAGCUUUAGUGCUCGGGCAGCCCUGGCCUUCGGAUCAGCAAUGACCGGGGGUUGGUGUGUCUGCUCGGCGCUCGGGCGCAUCUCCAGCCGGUGUUACGACGAGAACUGUUGGGCCUGGACCGAAGGCCCGGGGUGAAGUUUUCGCUUCGGCGUCAGCUCCCGGUGUCCUGGCUCUGGUGCCCGACAGGCCUCUGGCCAGCUUGUAUAGCAAGCACGGCUUGCCUUGUGCGGCUGGCUAUUCCUCGUCGAGUAGGUCGGUGGAAGCUAUGACCCGUCUUGAAACACGGACCAAGGAGUCUAACAUGUAUACAAGUCGUUGGGUUGACGAAACCUGAAGGCGCAGUGAAAGCAAAGGCCUGCUUGCAGGCUGAGGGACGAUGCCGUAGGGCCGCAGUCCCGCCAAUUCCAAUCAUCCUCGCUAUGUUGGGAUUAGGCAGAGUAUAGAUGUUGGGACCCGAAAGAUGGUGAACUAUGCCUGGUCAAGUUGAAGUCAGGCGAAAGCCUGAUGGAGGACUGAAGCGA
rnacentral:rRNA from 1 species